rnacentral:rRNA from 1 species
CCUACGGGGGGCAGCAGUGGGGAAUAUUGGACAAUGGGCGCAAGCCUGAUCCAGCCAUGCCGCGUGAGUGAUGAAGGCCUUAGGGUUGUAAAGCUCUUUUAUCCGGGACGAUAAUGACGGUACCGGAGGAAUAAGCCCCGGCUAACUUCGUGCCAGCAGCCGCGGUAAUACGAAGGGGGCUAGCGUUGCUCGGAAUCACUGGGCGUAAAGGGCGCAUAUGCGGCGUUUUAAGUUGGUGGUGAAAGCCUGUGGCUCAACCACAGAAUUGCCUUCGUUACUGGGACUCUUGAGUGUGGU